GGAGACUAUAGUGGAUCCAGGUGCGGGGCCGUUUGCCAGGAACUUGUUAGAAUUCACCUCUGCUGGCCUGUGUUUUCUCUAUUAAGGUGAAGGUAUUGGCUCAUGCAAUUAUGAAGAAACUCCAUUUUCUGGCAUUUGGAAGCUGGAGAUACAAGAAAGCUGGUGAUGUAGUUCAAAGGCUUGAAAACCAGAGGAACCAACUCCCAUCUUCCAGUGACUGGGUGUGACUGAACAUUCUAGACCCUGUCCACUUGUUUGCCUGGCUUUCAGAUUAUUUCUGCAUUAAGAAGAAAUGGACCUCUAUCUGGACUGAAGACCUUCAACAACUGUUCUUUCCUUCCUCCCAAACUCACCUCAUAAAAUCAGCAAUUGUAUAGAUCUUCCUCUUUACCAAGUCAGCACAAGCAGAACGAAAGAGAUGCCUACACCUGUAAUUCAUAAGAAUCUAAAGAACAUACAAAUCCACAAUGCAUAGACAGUGCUUGUCACAUCUCUGCUCAAAGCCCCCAGAGAAUCACCAUCACGUUUAGGAUAGGUCCAGUACCCAGCAUGCCUAUGGGGCCCUAGAUGAUCCAGCAUAAAGCUUCCUUUCUGACCUCAUCUUCUACUAUUUCCUUCCUGCUCUGUUUACUCCAACCAACUGGGCCCCUUGUUGUUCCUCAAACACUCCGAGCACUCUCACUUCUGAAUGCUUGCACAUUCUAUUUCCUCUUUCUGAAACACCUUUCUCUCAGAUACCCACAUGGCUCUCUAACUUCUUCCAAGUCUCUGUUCAGAUGUUGCCAAAUCAUUGAAGUCUUUACUGCCCUUCCUAAAUAA